GUUUCUCAUAUAAUAAAAUGCCUUACCGAUACUUGGUCGACAAUUUAAUAGUAUCUGAUUAAUUGAUGGAUAGUAUUAGUUGUGCGACCAGGAAAUGGUAUGAGCAUUUCAAUUUGAAGAAAUUC
rnacentral:pre_miRNA from 14 species